UCCUAGAUUUCACUUCAGGAAAGUUAUAGACUGAAUAAAUAAUUAUGGCGGUUUCCUCGACAGAUUGAUGUUUUGGACUGAUUGGGGGAGCUCACCGAAAAUCGAGAAGUCAGCUUUAAAUGGCACCAAGCGUUUUGCAAUUGUAACAACCAAUCUUACGAGGCCAUACGGUAUCACUCUUGAUCGUCGAAACAAACUUGUUUUUUGGGUGGACAAUGGAAUGGACGUAAUAGAAUCCGUGGAAUACAGUGGAAGCAACAGAAAACUCCUCUUUCAGCGACGAGGAAUGUUUUUUUGGGGAGUAACUUUCACCUCGUCGUACCUGUUCAUCAAUGAAUGGCGAAAAAGUUGGGUUUCCCAAAUGAAUGCCUAUAAUGGAACAAUUGUGAAUAAUAUGACAACCGGUGGCAUUUUUCCGAGCGGACUUAUCGCAUUUGACAGCUCGCUGCAGUUAGCAGUUGCAGUAACUACGUGUCCAGUGUUACGUGCACCGACUGAUGGAGCAGUACUUGGAUGUCCUGGAAAUGCAGGAGCAAAUUAUGAUACAGUCUGUCAGUUCACGUGUAACAGUGGCUAUAUAGGUUAUGGUUCUCAAGAAAGAAGAUGUCAACACGAUGGAACUUGGAGCGGAAAAGAGUUUGUUUGUCAAACUAUUACUUGCACUUUACCGACAAAUGGUGUACUCUUGGGAUGUAAAACAAACACGAAAGAGAUGUUUUAUAACGCAGAGUGCAGAUUCUCUUGUAAGGAAAGAGUCGAAGAGAUGAGUCCAACGGUGAGGAUCUGUACAGAAAAUGGAAGCUGGACCGGGACCGACCUUGUCUGCAAAGGUAUAGCAUUUGCGAACACUUACUUCUGGAGAGCUUUUUUCUCUUGACCCAAACGUACUGAGGAUCUUGGAUCUGAGACGAAUCAGUAGUAUUUCUAAGGUUGGCUACGAUUGUAGAUUGCGACAGUCGAUCUAACAUCGUGGUAAUAAUCAUUUUUCCAUUGCCUACGCUGGCUAUCUCAUGUAAGUAUGUUUCAGGAUCAAUCGAUGUAACUUGCGAUCUUACAUUACGAAUGGAUACAAGUUCGUCUUUAGUAUUUUUAAGGUUUGCAGCGGUUGUAGAUCACAAUGGUCGAUCUAACAACUUCGCAGCAAUCUUUUAUGUGGCUGGCAUGCACAUGCAGCUGAUCCAAUCAUACAUCUGCGCUUGGAUCACUCGAUUUACGAUCGUAGAAUGGAUCGUCACUGUCUCAAUUUGUUCAAGACUCAGUUACGAUACAAUUGCCUCGUCCUCCUUAUUCACUUUUAUCAGUGCUACUGAUAUUGAAUAAGAGAUGAAAUUUGCAGCUCUGGGGACUUUCUGGUUGUAAUUCAAGUACUAAUCCCAUGUUGAGCUUGUUUCGUUUACAGCGUAGGCUGUUAUUGCAAACGACUUAUGAUUCUAUCAGUAGGCAUCUUAAUGCAUUUGAUCCAGAUCGAGAAGCUACGAGGUCACUCUAGCUUGCCAGAGACUUAACUGACAACAACAACAACAACAACAAAAACAGUCUUUAUUUGCACUCACUCUUGCUCAGAAAAAGUUACAACAAAGAGAAUACUAAAAAGUAUGAGUUAGAGUACUGGCUGCCUGGAAUAACCAUAAGGGCUAGCGGAGCCAGGCAGCCAGUUGACAUCAGUAUUAAAUAAAUAUAAAUUAUAAACUAUAGGUCAGCAAGAAAACUGAAGUAAAAAUGCACACGUAAAAGAAAAAAUAUAUAUAAAAAGGAAGGGAGAGAAGAGGAAAAAUGCUAUCUAAGCUAGGAAGGAAGUCUGAAAUAGUAAAAUUUGCAUAUAAAUAGAUAACAUGAAGACAUGGAAAGGUGACAGAAUUUAACAAAAUACUAAUUUACUGGUAAUUUUGAAAACAACAUAACUGCUUAUGAGAAAAGAAGUAACUAAUAAUCUUUGACAAGAUCACAUAUUACUGAGUCCUUAAAGUUUGAGAUAGAGAAGGUUUUCAAAUUUUCAGUAUUAACUGACGGUAAUAAUUGCUGGUGUGAGAUUCAGAUGAUAGCUUACGGUCGAACAGUUUGGUCAUGAACCUUGAGGACGUACAUCAAUUUGAGUCAGGUGCAUGAGGACUUGUUUAAGCUGUCGGAGGAGUUAAAAAAAGGACAAAACAAUAAAACCAAAAGAAAAUAAAGAGCAAAAAAAAGGUAUUUGGAAAGCUAAAUCAUAAUUUUCAGAUUUUAUUUUUCCGCACAGUUUGAGGUUCGGCGGAAAACGAAGAGUUUCAGGGCACCGAUCAGAAUACCUUGCCACCCUGAUCGGGAGAAGGGGAAAAGUGAAGGAGCCAUUUAAUUUGUGGACUUAUCGUAUGUAAACGAAAGAAUUACAAAGCGGGUAAUUUUCUAACUGGAGCAUUGAUUUCGUUCUGCGAAGCCGAUUGCGAAAUUUCCGUGGUAAAUAUAGUCAUAUUGUCCUCAAAAGAUAUUCUACGUAUGUACCUGAAGUGAAAACAGUUUGUCUCUCUUUUCUUUAUCGAUAGCAAAGGCAGCUCGAUCUAGAGUUGGGAAAUUUUCCUUUAGUUUUUCCAAAAUAUAGCUGAUCGAUUUCUGCCAGAUUCUUAGUGAAGAUAAAUCAACUGAAUAGCACAUUUCCGAAUUACCUUUGGCCUCGUUUUAAAAGCGACUACUGGUACUACUCCAUUCAUUCUAAGUAAAUUUAACUCUUUUUGAAAAAGAGGCCGAAGGUAAUUCGGAAACGGCCCUUUGUUGGUGGUUACUAAUCUCGUACUCAGAUCCUAACGCGUAACUGUAACUUGGCGCUGGAAGGCCUUGAUACCAGACUUGUGGUGUUCUAAUAUAGCCCCUCUUAAGGAAAAGCUCUCCGGUGUCCGCUGCCGACUAAUGGUAUACCUUUGGAAUGUAACUCUAGUAGUACGACAGAGAUGUGAUAUGACGCAGAAUGCAGGAACUCUUGCAUGGAAGAGCCUGGGGUGAUUGGGUCAACUGUAAGGAGAUGCAAUGCAAAUGGCAAAUGGAAAGGAACGGACCACGUCUGCAAAAGUAUAAGAACUGCGAACAUAUAUUAUAAUCAGUUGAAACAAUCAUUGUGAUUCUUCAGGUAUUGUGGUCAGUUACACUGUCGAUGCCGCAAAUAGAUGCUGCGCUUGUGCCUAGUAAUAGAUCGUAAAUGACGUCAAAAUGUGGUAAAGAAACAAUGUGCCAUGUGUGUCCAAUGGAACAAAGCUUGGAUGGCCAGGCAAUACAGCAGUUUAUGUUUUCUCUUUCUUUUACUAUUUUGUCCAUCAUAUAUAAUACAUUUGUCACAGCGACUAUAUAUUGAUCUAUAACUACCUGUUCAUCACAUGAGAUGGUCUGAGACCCGAGGAUGUUCGAAGGAGCCCUCUAAGGAAGAUCUCCACAUCUCCAUAUCGCAGUUAAAAUCAACUUAAAGAAAAUGAACGGAUGUAAAUUAUUCCUUAAGUCUUAAGAACUGAUGGAUGAAUCUUUUAAGCAAAAACACCCUCUAAUAUAACUCGUCUUUAUGAUUUUUUAUUUCGUUAAUGUCGUCGAGCUUAAAUAUUGCAAACAUACUGAAACCAGCGCUUGACUAAGAACAACCUACAUCAGCUAAGAGAUUUGAAAUGGUUCGUUCAUGAUGUUCAUUCAUUCAUUUUGUUUUACCAUUACCAGAAAAAAAUUAACCGAAUGCAAAAUUUAUGAUGCAUCAAAGAUAAAAAGAACUGUUCGGGCUAAAUUAAGUUAAAAAUCAAAGGAACUGAAGAGGUAACAGCAAGGAAUCCUAUUAGAAGCCGGGGGCUUAUAAAGUAUAGGCUUCCUUAAACUAUAGUUUAAACCAUAUAAAUCAAAGGUGCUGAACGAAAAUUUAGAUUACGUUGAAAAAAAAAAGAAAGAAAGAAAAGAAAAAAAAAAAGAAAAGGUGUGUAGCUUAACAAAGAAUACAAAUAACUAAGAAAGAAGAAUUUUUUUUCAGCCUUUUGCUAAACAAGCUGAUGCUUUCAGAGUAUUGAAUUUCCCGACGAAAAACUUAGGACCUUGAAACCGAAUUGAAAAUUUUCGAAAAUUAGUUUUCCCUAGGAUUUCUCUAUGUCCCCUAGGAUUGGAAUGAAAAUGUGAGUAAUCACGCUAUUGAGACUGUGUAUUUCAGAAUUACUUCAUGAUUGCGCGUUGGAUGUGAGAUCGCAAAUAGUCAACGAAGCGCACGGCAUAAACUUGUAUGUAACCAAUGCAUUGUCAUUUCCGGAGAAGACGUAUUUGUUUUAUCAAUACAAUAAUUAAAGUAAAUAUUUAACAAA